AGAGUUUGAUCCUGGCUCAGAUUGAACGCUGGCGGCAUGCUUUACACAUGCAAGUCGAACGGUAACGCGGGGGCAACCCUGGCGACGAGUGGCGAACGGGUGAGUAAUACAUCGGAACAUAUCCAGUAGCGGGGGAUAACCUAUCGAAAGAUGGACUAAUACCGCAUACGAUCUACGGAUGAAAGCAGGGGACCGCAAGGCCUUGCACUAUUGGAGUGGCCGAUGUCGGAUUAGCUAGUUGGUGAGGUAAAGGCUUACCAAGGCGACGAUCCGUAGCUGGUCUGAGAGGACGAUCAGCCACACUGGAACUGAGACACGGUCCAGACUCCUACGGGAGGCAGCAGUGGGGAAUUUUGGACAAUGGGCGCAAGCCUGAUCCAGCCAUGCCGCGUGAGUGAAGAAGGCCUUCGGGUUGUAAAGCUCUUUCGGUGAAGACGAAACGGUUCGUGCUAAUAACGCGGACUAAUGACGGUACUCACAGAAGAAGCACCGGCUAACUACGUGCCAGCAGCCGCGGUAAUACGUAGGGUGCAGGCGUUAAUCGGAAUUACUGGGCGUAAAGCGUGCGCAGGCGGUUUGCUAAGACAGGUGUGAAAUCCCCGGGCUUAACCUGGGAAUUGCGCUUGUAACUGGCAAGCUAGAGUGUGGCAGAGGGGGUAGAAUUCCACGUGUAGCAGUGAAAUGCGUAGAUAUGUGGAGGAAUACCGAUGGCGAAGGCAGCCCCCUGGGUUAACACUGACGCUCAUGCACGAAAGCGUGGGGAGCAAACAGGAUUAGAUACCCUGGUAGUCCACGCCCUAAACUAUGUCAACUAGUUGUCGGGGAAGAAAUUCCUUGGUAACGAAGCUAACGCGUGAAGUUGACCGCCUGGGGAGUACGGCCGCAAGGUUAAAGCUCAAAGGAAUUGACGGGGACCCGCACAAGCGGUGGAUUAUGUGGAUUAAUUCGAUGCAACGCGAAAAACCUUACCUACCCUUGACAUGCUAGGAAGCCCGCAGAGAUGUGGGUGUGCCCGAAAGGGAACCUAGACACAGGUGCUGCAUGGCUGUCGUCAGCUCGUGUCGUGAGAUGUUGGGUUAAGUCCCGCAACGAGCGCAACCCUUGCCAUUAGUUGCUACAUUCAGUUGGGCACUCUAAUGGGACCGCCGGUGACAAACCGGAGGAAGGUGGGGAUGACGUCAAGUCCUCAUGGCCCUUAUGGGUAGGGCUUCACACGUAAUACAAUGGUCGGUACAGAGGGCUGCCAACCCGCAAGGGGGAGCUAAUCCCAGAAAGCCGAUCGUAGUCCGGAUUGUAGUCUGCAACUCGACUGCAUGAAGCCGGAAUCGCUAGUAAUCGCGGAUCAGCAUGUCGCGGUGAAUACGUUCCCGGGUCUUGUACACACCGCCCGUCACACCAUGGGAGUGGGUUCCACCAGAAGUAGUUAGCCUAACCGCAAGGAGGGCGAUUACCACGGUGAGAUUCAUGACUGGGGUGAAGUCGUAACAAGGUA
rnacentral:rRNA from 1 species